GACGUAGGGCGCGAGCGUUGUCCGGAUUUAUUGGGCGUAAAGAGCUCGUAGGCGGCUCGUUGCGUCGGCUGUGAAAACCCGCAGCUUAACUGUGGGCCUGCAGCCGAUACGGGCGGGCUGGAGUUCGGUAGGGGAGACUGGAAUUCCUGGUGUAGCGGUGAAAUGCGCAGAUAUCAGGAGGAACACCGGUAGCGAAGGCGGGUCUCUGGGCCGAUACUGACGCUGAGGCUCGAAAGCGUGGGGAGCAAACAGG
rnacentral:rRNA from 1 species